CAGUGUACUCGAGCUUAUGAGUCUUUCACUCUUGACUGACCGCUCCUGUGCAAGGCAUUGCACCUUGAGUUACACUCUUGUACAGUACUCCUCUAUCAGCUGUUUGAGAGGGACUGCCGCGCGCGUCGCACCCCGACUCAGACUGCCUCAGACCGAGGAGGCGAGCGGAGCGCGGAUCCCCGAUUCCCCGACCGCAACUUCCGCGACCAUGGCCGUGUUGACAAUCGUCCUGGUCGUGGUGGGCCUCAUGGUGGCCGUCCGCGCGUACAACAAGAUGACCAUGGGGCGCUGCCGGUGCACGGCGCGCCUCGACGGCAAGGUGGUGAUUGUGACUGGGGCCAACACGGGCAUCGGCAAGGAGGCGGCGCGGGACCUGGCGGCGCGCGGCGCCCGGGUCAUCCUGGCGUGCAGGGACCUCCAGAAGGCCGACCAGGCGAGGGACGAUAUCGUAGCGUCGACGGGCAACCGCAACGUGCUGAUCCGACAGCUGGACUUGCUGUCGCUGGCGUCGGUGCGUGCCUUCGCCAAGGGCGUGCUGCAGACCGAGUCCCGCCUGGACGUGCUCAUCAACAACGCGGGCGCGGGGGGGCUGCCCAACCAGCGCACGCCGGACGGCCUCACCAUGGGCAUGCAGGCCAACCACUUCGGCCCGUUCCUGCUCACCUGCUUGCUGCUAGACCUGUUGAGGAAGACGCAGGGAAGCCGGCUCAUCAUGGUCUCGUCUAUGGCGCACCCCUAUGGCCACUUCGACAUUGACAACAUGGACUGCGAGAAAAGCUACAACGGCUUCUACCUGUACUGCAACUCCAAGCUGUGCAACAUUCUCACGGCCCAGUACAUCGCCCAGAAGGCGUGACAGCCAACAGCCUGCACCCGGGCGUGGUGCAGACCGACAUCUUGAGGAACGUGAAGACGGCGUGGAUCCGCAACGUCGCGGACAGAGGGAUCGGCUUGCUGUUCAAGAGCGCCGCGGAGGGCGCGCAGACCACCAUCCACCUC
rnacentral:misc_RNA from 1 species